GCCGUCGUGGCCCACGGGGUAAGGGCGCCUCGCUGAUAACGAGGAGGAAGCGGGUUCGACUCCUGCCGACGGUA
rnacentral:tRNA from 1 species